AUUGAACGCUGGCGGCAGGCCUAACACAUGCAAGUCGAACGAGUGGCGGACGGGUGAGUAAUGUCUGUGAAAUUGCCCGAUGGAGGGGGAUAACUACUGGAAACGGUAGCUAAUACCGCAUACCAUCGGAUUUGCCCAGAUUGGAUUCGCUAGUAGGUGGGGUAACGGCUCACCUCGGCGACGAUCCCUAGCUGGUCUGAGAGGUUGACCAGCCACAGUGGAACUGAGACACGGGCCAGACGACUACGGGAGGCAGCAGUGGGGAAUAUUGCACAAUGGGCGCAAGGCUGGUGCAGCCAUGGCGCGUGUAUGAAGGAGGCCUUCGGGUUGGAAAGUACUUUCAGCGAGGAAGCGUUACUCGCAGAAGAAGCAUCGGCUAACUCCGUGCCAACAGGCGCGGUAAUUC
rnacentral:rRNA from 1 species